rnacentral:rRNA from 1 species
AUUGAACGCUGGCGGAAUGCUUUACACAUGCAAGUCGAACGGUAGAGGGGGCAACCCCUCGAGAGUGGCGAACGGGUGAGUAAUAUAUCGGAACGUGCCCAGUCGUGGGGGAUAACGUAGCGAAAGUUACGCUAAUACCGCAUACGAUCUAAGGAUGAAAGCGGGGGAUCGCAAGACCUCGCGCGCUGGGAGCGGCGGAUAUCAGAUUAGGUAGUUGGUGGGGUAAAGGCUCACCAAGCCAACGAUCUGUAGCUGGUCUGAGAGGACGACCAGCCACACUGGAACUGAGACACGGUCCAGACUCCUACGGGAGGCAGCAGUGGGGAAUUUUGGACAAUGGACGCAAGUCUGAUCCAGCCAUUCCGCGUGCAGGAUGAAGGCCCUCGGGUUGUAAACUGCUUUUGUACGGAACGAAAAGGUCUCUCUUAAUACGGGGGACUCAUGACGGUACCGUAAGAAUAAGCACCGGCUAACUACGUGCCAGCAGCCGCGGUAA